CCGCCCCAUCUUGCCCCCAGAAGGCGAACCUGUUAAGGGGAAGGGAGACACUUAAGACACUUGACAGCAACUUCGUGUGACUCUGAAGGGCACACUGGAAAGUUUCCUAGAUUGAAGGCAACUCCAGAUUUAAACCUAUCUAUCCAAUUACUGUAUAAACCAGAUGAAAAUUUAACAGUGGAACACCGUGGGCAAUUUCAGCCUGGGGACAUUUGGCAGUGUCUGGAAACGGGACAGGAGAGAGGUAUCUGAUAUCCAACAGACUCAGAAUGCUGCUAAACACCCUGCAAUGCACAGGACAGUCCACCACAACAAGAAAACGAUCCCACUCCAAAUGUUAAUAAAGCCUGGGCCUCCCAGGUCACAGCGGUAAAGAAUCCACCUGCCAGUGCAGGAGACACAAAAAUACAGGUUCAGUCCCUGGGUCAGGUAGAUCCUCUGGAGGAGGAAAUGACAACCCACUCCAGUAUUAUUGCCUGGAAAAUUCCAUGGACAGAGGAACCUGGUAGGCUACACUCCCUGAGGUCACAGAGAUUUGGCCACGACUGAUCACCACCAAGAAGCUAUAUCCUAAAACUGCUAAACCAGACUCUCUGGGAUAGAGGCCUGGAAGUCAACAUUUGACAAGCAUCUCAGCUACUUUUACCCACACGAAAGUUUGAGAAGCACUUCAGAUACAAAAUCCUUUUCUUGGAAUAUAUAUACAUGCUCCAUUUUGUUCCAGAUGGUAGUUACCUCUUUUAUUUAUUAGCCAUGCUAAUUAUAAGAUGUUAAUCUAACUAAAUAUGACAACUUAGCAAUUGCCUGAAUUUCUGAGUCUUACUGUAACAUUCAUUUUAGAUUGGAAAGCUGUUUGUAUUUUAAAAUUUCUGUUCCAUAUUACAUUAUUUUGGAUCAGCUAUCUACAUUUUCUAGAUGCCCUUUGUCUAAUCAAAAUUGUUUUGAACAGAAAACUAUUGCUAGUCUCUGGCUUGGCAAAGCAGUGCUUUGUCUGCUCCAGUCCACUGGUUUUUCCAGUAGCCAGAGUAACUGACUUGUCUAUUUCAUGUAUUUCUCUCAUCCCUUGAAGUAAUGCUGCUCUCCUCUCAAAUUUUUUCUCUUCUUUACUUUUGGCAUUUGAAAAUAUUUUUAGGGUAUAUUAGUGGUGUCUUAAGAGCAGAAGCAAGAAAAUGGUAGUGUCAUAAAAGCCACCAGAAGCACAAGGGAAAAUCUUAAAACUUCCAUUAAAAAAGGUCAUUGGAAAUUAUUAUGUGUUUCAGUGUAUAACAAAUUGAGAACUUGCCUCUCUAAAAAACUGUUUUAAGUAUUCUGUUUUAGAGAAUGCUUAGUUGCUCAGUCAUGUCCAUUCUUUGAGAACCUUUGGACUGUAGCCUACCAGGCUCCUCUGUUCAUGGGAUUUUUCAGGCAAGAAAUAUACGUGUGUGUGUG
ensembl:lncRNA